AAUAAACCCCCCCACGCUUCUCGGUCCUGCUUAGCAUCUGAAUCCAAUUCAAACCAAGCCAACGCCGAUUCCGUUGAGCUAUGUCGACGCAGUCGGGGCAAGGAAAUCUAAACAAAUUGACACAGCAGCUGAACUUAUCUAGUGCAGAUCAGCAGUUGAGCUCUCAAUCUCCAGCGCCUUACGUUGUAAAUAUGGACGCCAGUUCUGUGGCAUCCGAGGAAUGUUCCACUGAAAAUUGGGGAUUUAAUUUGUCUACCGAUUAUAUCCGCCAGUUGACUCUUUCCAAACUUUUUGACGACGACGACGCCGAGUUGAUCCGGCUAGAAUUUGGAUCUAUGGCGCAAACUAGAGGUAUGAAUCCGAAUUGGGAAUCAUCUUCAACACCCACGCCGGCGCUGGAAGAUGGAGAAGGUAUUCCUAAUGCUAACGUAUUUCCACAGCGCUUCAAUUCUCAUCACAACUCUGAAGGAGACGUUGAUGAUGGUGCUCAGAGUUUCGAACCCGACCAGGAUCUCACUGAAGAAGCUUCAAGGGUAACACCAAUGGAAAAUGUAGGAGCCAUCUGGACAAAGCAGGGACACCAUCUCAAGCUUGCAUUGGAAAGAAGCGAAAGGCUAGCCAACGGAUCAUCCUCGGAAAAGAGCAAGAACUUGAAAGAAUGCAGAAAAAAAGAGAUGCGGAUAAGAAGUAUCGAGCGGACAUUAGGAGGGAGUUAAACGAGCUUAGGAGGAUGAAGCCUGAGUACGAUAGAGUAAUGGAAGUUGUUUCCAGAUUUGAGGGGAUUGAUGAAAUGGAGUGACAGAUUAAUCACAUGAACUCUGAGUUACGUAGAAUACAACAGAAAGAGGUGGAUUAUGAUAUAUCUCGGCGUUUAUUUGAAACCGAGAUGAAUCGAUUAGAGCAAAUGAAGUCAAAGUAUGGGGGAAUUGAUGAAAUGGAGUGUAUGUUGGAUAGAUUCAUGCGCAUGGAAGCUGAGUCCCAUAAACUAAAUCAAAUAAGAUCAAAGUUGGGAAUUGAGGAAACAGAAUCCAUAGUGCAAAAAUUCAAGGAAAUGGAGGAGGAGUUACGUAGAUUCGACCAAAUAAAGUCAUUAUUUGGCGGAAUAGAUGAAAUUGAGGCCGGAGUCAAUAGGCUAAAGAAAAUGGAGUUAGAGUUGGAAAGGCAUAAGCACAUGGUGAACAAAAACCAACUUGAACCCUUUCAUACAUAUACUGAUGGUCCACAGGAAAGGCUCAGAUCGCAGUUAUUGGACUUGAAUGGCGACUCUGACAAUGUGUCAUAUCAGUGUGGGCUUAAUCUAAUUUCAUUUGCCACUGAAAGCGGGGCCACACCUGACAUGCAGUACCUGAUAUUCCUUUAUAUCAAUUAGUCUAUGACGUUUUUUCUUAAAAAUCAUCGGUAAUUGAUAUAUUUAUCGAUCUAACAUCGAUCAGAUUAUAUUUCUCGAUUUAACACUCGUAGCAGUAAAGUACGUCUAUUGACUCGCGCUAUACGCUGAUUUGACACUACGUGGAGUAUAGUGCGUCCCUGCUCCGCGUUAUACAUAUUUAUCCGACACAUGGGGUCUAGCGCGAUGCAGGGGUCGCGCUAUAACUUUAAUUACACGGUCGUUCACACCUCACACUUCUCUA